CAAUAGCGUAUAUUUAAGUUGUUGCAGUUAAAAAGCUCGUAGUUGGAUUUCGGUUAAGAGCGACCGGUCCGCCGUUUGGUGUGCACUGGUUGGUUUUAACUUCCUGUAGAGGACGUUCUCUGGGUUUAACGACCUGGACUCGGAGUCUACGUGGUUACUUUGAAAAAAUUAGAGUGUUCAAAGCGGGCUUACGCUUGAAUAUUUCAGCAUGGAAUAACACUAUAGGACUCCUGUCCUAUUUCGUUGGUCUCGGGACGGGAGUAAUGAUUAAGAGGAACAGUUGGGGGCAUUCGUAUUUCAUUGUCAGAGGUGAAAUUCUUGGAUUUAUGAAAGACGAACUUCUGCGAAAGCAUUUGCCAAGGAUGUUUUCAUUAA
rnacentral:rRNA from 1 species